rnacentral:rRNA from 1 species
AGCGAACGUUAGCGGCGGGCCUAACACAUGCAAGUCGAGCGAGAAAAGGGCUUCGGCCCUGAGUAAAGCGGCGGACGGGUGCGUAACACGUAGGUAAUCUUCCCUUGAGCGGGGGACAACGAGCCGAAAGGCUCGCUAAUACCGCAUAAGUCUCUCGGGGAUCCGGUCCGUGGAAGGAAAGCUAGGUCGCAAUAUCCGGCACCCGAGGGGGAGCCUGCGUCGCAUCAGCUAGUUGGUGGGGUAACGGCCUACCAAGGCGGAGACGCGUAGCUGGUCUGAGAGGAUGAUCAGCCACACUGAAACGGAGAAACGGUUCAGACUCCUACGGGAGGCAGCAGUGGGGAAUAUUGGACAAUGGGCGCAAGCCUGUUCCAGCCACGCCGCGUGAGUGAUGAAGGCCUUCGGGUCGUAAAGCUCUGUGGGGAGGGACGAACCGCCGUUGGUGCAUAGCCAACGGCAUGACGGUACCUCCUUAGAAGCCCCGGCUAACUUCGUGCCAGCCGCCGCCGUAAAAC